rnacentral:snoRNA from 1 species
UAUGCAGAUGAUGACAAAAAAGACAGGGACAUCAGCACUCCAAUGGAGAAUGUUGACUUAGUCUAAUGGGAAUCUCUCUGAUGCGUU